rnacentral:rRNA from 1 species
CAGCCGCCGCGGUAAUACGGAGGGUGCAAGCGUUAUCCGGAUUCAUUGGGUUUAAAGGGCGCGUAGGCGGAUUAUUAAGUCAGUGGUGAAGGCCUGCAGCUUAACUGUAGAAUUGCCAUUGAUACUGAUAGUCUUGAGUUUGGUUGAGGUAGGCGGAAUGAGGCAUGUAGCGGUGAAAUGCAUAGAUAUGCCUCAGAACACCAAUUGCGAAGGCAGCUUACUAAACCAAUACUGACGCUGAGGCACGAAAGCGUGGGGAGCGAACAGGAUUAGAUACCCUGGUAGUCCACGCCGUAAACGAUGAUUACUCGUUGCAGGCGAUACACUGUCUGUGACCAAGCGAAAGUGAUAAGUAAUCCACCUGGGGAGUACGGUCGCAAGAUUGAAACUCAAAGGAAUUGACGGGGGCCCGCACAAGCAGUGGAGCAUGUGGUUUAAUUCGAUGAUACGCGAGGAACCUUACCAGGGCUUAAAUGUACAUUGACCUCUCGAGAAAUCGAGAUUCUCUUCGGAGCAAAGUACAAGGUGCUGCAUGGUUGUCGUCAGCUCGUGCCGUGAGGUGUCGGGUUAAGUCCCAUAACGAGCGCAACCCUCAUCUUUAGUUGCCGGCGAGUAAUGUCGGGGACUCUAAAGAAACUGCCCGCGCAAGCGUGGAGGAAGGUGGGGAUGACGUCAAAUCAUCACGGCCCUUACGUCCUGGGCCACACACGUGCUACAAUGGUAGGUACAGAGGGCAGCCACUUGGUGACAAGGAGCGAAUCUCUAAAGCCUAUCUCAGUUCGGAUUGUAGUCUGCAACUCGACUACAUGAAGCCGGAAUUGCUAGUAAUCGCGCAUCAGCCAUGGCGCGGUGAAUACGUUCCCGGGCCUUGUACACACCGCCCGUCAAGCCAUGGAAGCUGGGGGUGCCUGAAGUCGGUAACCGAAAGGAGCUGCCUAGGGUAAAACUAGUAACUGGGGCUAAGUCGUAACAAGGUAACCGUA